rnacentral:rRNA from 1 species
GACGAACGCUGGCGGCGUGCUUAACACAUGCAAGUCGAACGGAAAGGCCCUGCUUUUGUGGGGUGCUCGAGUGGCGAACGGGUGAGUAACACGUGAGUAACCUGCCCUUGACUUUGGGAUAACUUCAGGAAACUGGGUCUAAUACCGGAUAGGAGCUCCUGCUGCAUGGUGGGGGUUGGAAAGUUUCGGCGGUUGGGGAUGGACUCGCGGCUUAUCAGCUUGUUGGUGGGGUAGUGGCUUACCAAGGCUUUGACGGGUAGCCGGCCUGAGAGGGUGACCGGCCACAUUGGGACUGAGAUACGGCCCAGACUCCUACGGGAGGCAGCAGUGGGGAAUAUUGCACAAUGGGCGGAAGCCUGAUGCAGCAACGCCGCGUGCGGGAUGACGGCCUUCGGGUUGUAAACCGCUUUCGCCUGUGACGAAGCGUGAGUGACGGUAAUGGGUAAAGAAGCACCGGCUAACUACGUGC